CAGAAGACACCGGAACAUCGUCUGACUACUCUGACUACGAUAGUUCAGAUUUUUUGGAUACCGUCUACGAAGGAGUAAGAAACUACAUUCAAUCCGUUGAAGAAAAUUUCAACAUUGGAGAUGUCGGUGCUAACGUAACCGGAGGUGGCUUUGAAGGACAAGAAAAUUUCAACAUUGGAGAUGUCGGUGCUAACGUAACCGGAGGUGUCUUUGAAGGACAAGAAAAUUUCAACAUUGGAGACACUCUUAAGGAUUUUUUUCAGCCAUUUCCGGCUUGAGCGACGUAAUAAUCUAUGUAGGUUUGCGGGUUAACCCGGCCUCUCUCUAUCAUUUUAUUUAUUUAUUUAUUUUUUACAAAUGGAAGGCAUGUUUUAGCUGGUCUGAAGUGUAGUUUAGCUAUAAACUUCCCGUAAGUAAAAGGUACGUGUUUGUUCUGAUCCGACUUGACUUCGAUUAAAAUGUCUGUAAUGUGGUUCUUGAUGAGCGGCACGUAGUGUGGCUUAUUGUAAGUAAUAUUGAUGACUCAGUUGUUUUCACCCGUUAUAUGUACGGCUCUGAGUAAUGGUGCAAAGCUGUCACCGACUCUUUGGUACUCGAUAAUGUCCGUAUAUACAUACAUUGUGUAAAAUCCGGCGUGAAUAUCAGCGGGAUGCGGUGCUUCUGGGACGAGGUGCGUUAUUGCAUUAUACGGGGUCAUGCCGAGCAUAUAUGCUAAUUUUCCGCUGGUUUUGAAGAAAUACGGUUUUGAGGUGUCCAUGUAUUUUAUUUUUCACAGGGUUAUAGACUAUAGUAAUGCUGAGUUUGGAUAUUUGCAUUACUUCAUUGAUUUCUUUAACUAGAUCUUCAAUACUUUUAUAAUAUCCGUGAUUUAUCUUAAAUGAUACUCUGCUUACCCCUUUACCCUCCCUCCAACCAACGGAACACGCGGAGUCUUCCUCUGACAAUGUAUUCCAACUGUGCACAUAUUGAACUUCUGAAAGCGAAACUUCCCAAUUUCCUUUCAAAUCAAUGGGUUUGGCAAAUUUAGUUGUAUAUUGAGAUAUUUUGUUAUUAGGGUAAAUGUCCUUCCACGCGUUGCUCGGAAGAGUCACAUAGAAUGCACACUCGUCCAUGGUUAUCAAUUAUAGUUGAUCGCUAUGAUUGUGAUGAGUCUUUUUAAACACUAAAGUUCAAUGUUUACUACAUCUUCAGCAAGCACCCAGGAAUUAAAUUUUUCAGGCCAGCCCAACCAUUUCACCAGACAGACCUUUUUCCUGUUUUGAAUCUUUUCAGACAGGAUUUUCUCUAUUUUGAACGAUCUGUCAUUACCUAUUAUGAUUUUUUGUAACUCAGGUUCGUAAAACGUUCCCUCAAUUUUUUCACCAUCAUAGUCUCGUAAUUUAUAUACAAGGGGGUCUCUAGGGAUCUGCUCGGAAAUUUAAAAAUAUACAUCUGUAAAAUUUUGGUCGUUUCCUUUUUCAAACUGUCCUUUCGAACGGGCUAUUCUAACAACGUCACCGGUUUUAAACUUGAAUUUUAUUUUCUUGGGUUUUAAUGACUGUAACCCAUAAAGAGUUUUAAAUACUGUGAAAGAAUUGGUUUUGGUGACCUCAGCAGGUUUCAUUUUGAUGCUGGAAUGACGGUUGUGGUUAUAAGCAUGAACCAUUUCCUGCACCCUGUCCGUGUAUUUUCUCAUGUUAAACGCUGUAAAAUAUCUCCACAUCUUGGUCUUUAGUGUUUUGUUGAACCUUUCACAUACUGCAGCUUUCUGAUCGGUGCCCGUGGCAAAAUGUAUAAUGUUGUGUUUUUUCAUUAAGUUUUGAAAGGUUUUGUUAAAAAAUUCUUUCCCUUGAUCAGUUUGUAAUUUUUUUGGGACUCUACCUUCCCUUAGAAUGGAAUCAAAAGCUUUAGUCACUUCACCGCCGGUCUUGUUUCGUAACACGCGCACCCAAGCGUACUUAGAUAAAAUAUCUAUACACAUUAUCAAAAUUUUUGCAUCAUUACUUUCCGCCAAAUUGCUCAUGCCGACUAAAUCAGCUUGCCAUUGUUCAUCUAUGUUUUUCACAAAAACCUUGUUUCUUUUAAACUUUGUAGACACCGGUUUAUGAAGAGUGUAUGCAUCUUGCUCAGCUAACCAGUUUUUUUUAUCUCGUCAUCAUUAAUUCUUUGUCCGAGUUUCUCAACUAUAGCCCUUUGCAAACUCUCAACACCUCCGUACGAGCCGGGGUCAGACGGCGUGUAAUACACAUUCUUCAACAGCCGCUCAUUCAUUUUGAAGUAUCAGAAUGCCAAUGAUCAAAACAACGAAUAGUUUUAGGAUUUUAUUUUAAAAAGACAUCACGUGACUAGUGUUACAAUUUUUAUUUAUUUAUUUAUUUCUGCAUCAAAAU